GAUCUUUUAUAUCCAUGGUGAGAUUUCGUCAUCAAUCGGUUCAUUAGGGCUGAUGAAACUUCCCAAAUAAGUGAAGUU
rnacentral:pre_miRNA from 1 species